AAUCGCUCUCUCUCUCUCCGUCUCUCCCUCUCUUUCUCAUUGUUGCUAUACGUGCAUCUGGAUAGGCAUAGGCAGUGUGGUCACCCAGCACAUUUUCAUAGAAAUGCUGUGGGUUUUUUUUAAUGAAAUCUUUAUUCAGUUAUUUGUGAACAGUCUCUGCGUUUCACUUUCGAUGUUGCGUCACCGUGGACAAGUGUCUGCUCGAAAACUUAAUGCAAAGCGGCUAAAAUGUUCAGAACGUGUUGAACUUUUCAGAACAUGAAUGUUUGUCUGUGGGGGAUGGGUGGGUUACAGCAGUGCAGUGCAGUGCACGGGACUGCACAGCCUUUUGUGACAUGUCGUGGCGCGACAGGUUAUCCAGCCUCCGAAGGAGUCAUAGUUCCCCAGUCAUAGCCUACUGUUGGUUCGCAUCUCCACCGAAGCAACUGAAUUUGCAGUCCUAAUCACAGAUGAUUAGCCACACCUGGUGUAACAGAUGUAUUGUCAUGUGUGCAUCACAUCCCCAGUUAACCGGAAUCCAGUCGAUCGCGCACAACAGCGCAUUGAAAGGAUGAAAUGUUCACAAGCACCAAUACAAAAAAAACGUCUUCAACCUAUUAGUCCGUAGGCUAUCCUGAGGAUAUCCGUUCCUGACUUGAAUAGGUAGUGCAGAAAUAAUUAACAGACAUCACUUAGCCUAUAAGUUAGGAGCGGAAUUGAGACGGUGAAUGCAGGACAGAAUAAUGAAAACAAAACACCGUCGACUGGCGGUCUUGUUUAGGGAUCACGCUUGUGUUAUUAUCAAAUACCCAAUGUUACGUGCGCAAUUGGCUGACUCUUUCCACUUGUAGCCUAAAACUGAGGGAGGGAUCAACAUACAACACACAAAAAAAUACUGGGUUAUUUCUUUACCCAAAUACUGGUUUAUGACAAUUUUACUACUUAAUGGGUUUUUUAUACCCACACUGGGUAAUUUGAUAGAAACAUGCUGGGUUAUAUGUUUACCCAAUUAUUGGUGUGUGGUCGUUUGACCAUAUACUGGGUUAUGCUAACCAUUGAUGAGUUAUUAUACCCAAUCACUGGGUUUAUCAUAACAUUUGAAAUCAGAGCCAGCCAACGGACUUUUUCCUGGAAGUCAACUGAACUGGGGAAAACCUUCAACAACAAGGAAAGGUUAACCAGAGAUCGCACUGGCGUCCGGAUCCUUUGUAAGCUGAUCACGUUAUGUCCGUCUGUGCUAAGACUGGAAGUGACUGAAAGACAACACAGAUGCAUUCUUUCAGCAAGCACUUGUCCUGGAGGUUUUGUAGACAGAACUGGAAGUGACUGAAAGAAAACGGAGACUUAUUCUUUCAGCAAGGUGACCAAAAUCUGUUUCGCUCUGCAGCACUUGUCCCGGAGGCUUUGUAGACAGAGUGACUGAACGAAAACCUAAAUGAGAAAUGCUGUGUACCUCAUCUUGAACUCUUUCACAUGGUGAUUCCUACACAUAAUUGCACACUGUAUGUGUUUAGCUAUCCUAUCUUACAAAGACUUAUUGCCAAUACUGUAUCUGCCUUUCCUCAAUACAAUGUAAAAAGUGCUGCAUAGACCAUUUAGAGAAGCAAUGUCUCAUGACUUUUGCUGUAUGUUUAUUUUUGAUCAAGUUUCAUUUGUUUUGUAAAAUAUCUUUGCAGAUUUUCUUUUCGUGCCUGGACACUUUUUUCCUUUCAAAUAUUGCUUUGAAUUGAUGCAAAUUGAAGAACGUGAAUCCCUGGUAAUAAAGGAAGGUUGACCAGAAAAUAA